GGGCUGAGGGGCUGAGGGGGCAGAGGGGCUCAAGGGGCUGAGGGCUGAGGGGCUGGGGCUGAGGGGGCAGAGGGGCUCAAGGAGGCUGAGGGCUGAGGGGGUUGAGGGGGCUGAAGGGGCUGAGGGCUGAGGGGCUGAGGGGUUGAGGAGGCUGAGGGGCUGAAGGAGGCUGAGAGAUGAGAGGCUGAGAGCUGAGGGGCUGAGGGGGCUGAGAGGGCUGAGGGGCUGAGGGGGCUGAGAGGGCUGAGAGGGCUGAGAGGGCUGAGGGGGCUGAGGGCUGAGGGGUUGAGGGAGCUGAGGGCUGAGGAGCUGAGGGCUGAGGGCUGAGGAGCUGAGGGGUUGAAGGCUGAGGGGCUGAGGGCUGAGGGGUCUGAGGGCUGAGGGGUUGAAGGGGCUGAGGGGCUGAGAGGCUGAAGGGGCUGAGGGGCUGAAGGAGGCUGAGGCUGGGGUAGGCCUGGAGAUGGGGUGGUCAGCCUGGGGGCUGCAGGGGUCUCCCAAGGCCUCCCUGUGGGUCUUUCGAGGGCACAGGCCCUGCUCCCGGAGGCUGGGAGUUCUGGCCGCAGGGCCUGUCCUUCAGUUACUAGGCUCCAGAGGUCGGUCCCAGCGCCUCAGACACCCACAUCCAGCAGGGACAGGGACAGCUCGCGGCUGGGAUAGCGUCAGCCCUGGGCCACGGCGGCUUGGCACCACAUCCCGUGACAGCUCUGUCUCCAGGCGUGCUCCCCAGCCCUGCCUGAAGAUGAACCCCAAGCCCUCGCCAGUGGCCAGGUAGGAACAAGGCCAGGAGCCCUGUGGAGAGGAGCAGGGGACCACUGCGUGGACGGGGCAGGCUGGGGCACAAAGGGCACUGCUUCCUCUGGAUAGCGCUAACUCCGAGAGCUCGGGCUCCUAUCCCUAGCCGGGGCGCCUGGCCUCCUGCAGUCGGGUCCCCAGCGGGUGAGCCGGGCGCAGGUGGACCUGACCGAGGAGGCGGCCGGAGCCCCUGCGGGUGAGGCGGGAGCGGCGAGCAGGAGGGCUGACUCAGAAGGUUUAUUUGCAGCGCUGGCGGGGCGGACAAUUGGCGGCCUCGGGGU
rnacentral:lncRNA from 1 species